UUUUUCAGUCAUUGAACAAUUUUGCCUGCCACCUGAUACCAAAGUUACAUACAAAGAUGCAACAGAUACUGAAGUUGACGAAGAAAUAUUCAGUGACCUCCUUAGACAAGGCAAUGUGGUACAGACAGUUUUCUGCUAUGAUGAGUUCUCAGAAUGGUCAUCUGCUUCUGACUCAAGCUUCAACUCAAAUGCAUCAACAUCAACAAUACUAAUGGAUGAGAUGCCACGCAAGAAGCAAAAAACUGAGAAUCCUGAUAACUCAGUGUCUGCUAAAAAUCUGGUUGAAGGUGUCCUACAAAGCAAGUCUGGUGGUGAAGAAAUUCUGCAGCAGUAUGAAACUACAGAAACCCUAACUGAUGCCACAAGAAGACAAAUGGUGAACAUACUGGUGGCUCACAUGAUUGAUGAACAAGGGCACCUCCCCACAAAAGCAAUCAGAGAGAAGUAUGCCUUUGGAAUAGUGACAAAGGCAUCCCUCAAGGAUCCAUACACCAAAAAAGGCAAUGAGCACUUUUAUGAUGCAGCAAGCAGCACUGGAUACAUUUCAUGGCGUCUUAAAACGGUCCUAAGGAAGAUUCAAAGAGGAUCUCUUGUGCCAUCAAGUAGCACCAAUUACAUUUCAUCUGGAGGCCCAAAUAUACAGAGAACUGUGAUUGUUGAAAAACAGCUUGAUGGGAAUGCCUGCCAGGAGGCCAUAUCUCUGCUUAACCACACCACAGACAGGUCCGUGAUCUUUCAGAAGAUGAGAGAGACUUUUGAGCACCGUCACAAGCUUAUUAAAGAUGCCAGUGGAAGAAAUGAUAUAUCCUGACCACAUUCCCGGGGUUCCUGGACACAAAAGGAUUGAUUGAUCAAGACUUCCGUCUCCUAUUCAGUGAAGAAACCUCAUCCAGACUGCUGCAGAAGUGGGAUGUGUUCUUCAAACCAAAUGUCAUCAAGGAGGCUAAGCGUUUCACUUCUCCACCUGAGUUGAGAAGUUUGGUGCAGUCAGCGGAAAGUCUUCAAAGCGAUGACCUCACUAACACAUCUAACUAUGACCAAGAAAUGGCCUCGCUGUUACUUCUCUUACAUCUUCUUCCACCGCAACCAGGAGGACAGAAGUCUCCAAAAAUCAGUGCAAGUGAUGCAGAUGAGAGACUUGUUGUCAUUCAUAAGUCAUGCUGCAGUUUAGAGGAGCAUCUUCGGGGACAAUGGGGUCUGCAGCCAUACCUCCUUGCUGUUGGGCGUCAGAAAAGCAAGAUUGACAGCUUCUACAUCGUCAUGGAUAAGUGCCUCAUCCCAUGCCAGACAAACAGUUCUCUUGGAACAUUUGAUGAGCUAUUCAAAGCACAUUUUGUGUUUAAUUUCUCUUAUGAUGCUGCAUUGAUGAAUUUCUACACAUUUCUGCAGACAACAGUGUAUAACAUUGACGUGGGCAAAAUAAAGGAAUCGCUCAGAGUUAGGGACGUGAGAGCAAGGCUGCUAAAGAAUCCGUUGAGCUCUCUUGUGAGUUAAGUCAGGCCAAAAAAUGUUGACCUGUUUUUAUGUGUCAAAAACUGUAUCCAAGCGGAAACAUUUGAUCAUCAUCAUGCUUUCAAAAUUGUUCAAAGUGAAGAAAGGCAUUUAGUAAAAAUCCCUGAACUUAAAUUUCUUUUGAUAUUCAAAACUCUUAUGGCAUUUCUAAUGAAUGUUUGAUCAUUGUACCACAAUUUAAAAUGUUGGGAACACAGCUGCAAAAAUAAAGUGUUCAA